CCUACGGGAGGCUGCAGUGGGGAAUAUUGCACAAUGGGGGAAACCCUGAUGCAGCGACGCCGCGUGAGUGAAGAAGUAAUUCGUUAUGUACAGUCCUAUCAGCAGGGAAGAAAAUGACGGUACCUGAGUAAUAAGCCCCGGCUAACUACGUGCCAGCAGCCGCGGUAAUACGUAGGGGGCAAGCAUUAUUCGGAUUUACUGGGAGUAAAGGGAGCGUAGGCGGGAGUGCAAGUCUGGAGUGAAAGGCGGGGGCUUAACCCCCGGACUGCUUUUGAAACUGUACGUCUAGAGUGCAGGAGAGGUAAGUGGAAUUCCUAGUGUAGGGGUAACAUGCGUAGAUAUUAGGAGGAAUACGCGUGGCGAAGGCGACUUACUGGACUGUAACUGACGUUGAGGCUCGAAAGCGUGGGGAGCAAACAGGAUUAGAUACCCGAGUAGUC
rnacentral:rRNA from 1 species